UUGCAGCAUACCUUUCCUAAAGUGGUGAGUGCUUGCUUUUCAUGCAGAGCCAACACUAGUUGUCUAGUCGCCUUGGCUUCUUAUUUUUUCCCCACCCAUCUGUUUUUUCAGCUCAAUUUUGUGACUGAUUUUAAUAUGAAGAUCAUGAACCGGACACUCCUAUUUUUUCUUCUUGCCAGAUGCCAGCAGAUUCUCAAGGAUACAGAUUUCAACACAAGUCACCACCAAAUAAACCGGACAAUUUCCAAGACCACAGUGAGUUCUCUGUCCAACAGCACUCCAGUUUUCUCCACUACUACCUCCAGAGCAACCUAUGACAAUGCUUACUUCUACAUCGUGUUCGUGAUGGUCUUCUACUCCGUCCUCGCCCUGACACUUUUCAAGUGCUUUGCAGGCAGUGAUGAAGCAAAGAAGGAUCCUCAUGAGGAGUUCACAGGCUCUGGGCAGACAUCAACACAAACUUUCAAUGCAGGCCACAUGGCAGAAAAGUUUUACUUUGAAGAGGAGAGCAGCCUCUGAGCUGCAGGAGAAAGGGGAGGAGGAAAUCUCCUGCGAGCGGGCCAGCUGACAGGCAGAAGGAGAUGAGGUCCUCUGAUGUUCUGAGAGAAGGGUGGAAACGAGAAGUGUGGGUCAAUGGCAGGCCGGAAUCUCCCCCUGUGAGGCCCAAUCAGGAUCAAUAACUGCGGGGCCCUCGACAUGCACACACCACAGGGAACCAGGGAUACCUCUGCAGGCUGACAGAGUGGACAACACAGACUCUUGUGUGUCUGACUGCACGGUUUCUAAUAAGGGCAUGUAGGCAUGCUCCGACCUGCUGUUUAACCACCAAAUUGGAAAUAAAAAUGCAUAAUAAGUUCA